rnacentral:rRNA from 1 species
GCCUGUUUAUCAAAAACAUCGCUCCCUGUACAAAAUAAAUAGGGAGUCGGACCUGCCCAGUGAAUUUUUAACGGCCGCGGUACUCUGACCGUGCAAAGGUAGCAUAAUAAUUUGCCUUAUAAUUGAAGGCUGGUAUGAAUGGUUUGACGAGAAUAAAGCUGUCUCUUUGCAAUUUACUAGAAAUUUAUUUGCGGAUGAAAAAGUCCGUAUUUGAUUAAAAGACAAGAAGACCCUAUCGAGCUUUAAAGAAUUUAGUAGACUGGAAUAGCUAAUUAGGCCUAAAAAGCUAUCUAUUAAGUAUUUUAGUUGGGGCGACAAAGGAACAAAUAAAGCUUCCUUAAUGAUGCAAUCGUUUCCCUUAUUGGUCUUGAUCCAGAAUUUCUGAUUAAUAAAAUUAGUUACCGUAGGGAUAACAGCAUUAUCUUUUUUGAGAGCUCUUAUCGAAAAAAAGGUUUGUGACCUCGAUGUUGGACCAGAAUAUCCUAAAGAUGCAGCAGUCUUUAAAGGUUGGUCUGUUCGACCAUUAAUAUUCUACGUGAUCUGAGUUCA